rnacentral:rRNA from 1 species
GGGGGCCCGCACAAGCGGUGGAGCAUGUGGUUUAAUUCGACGCAACGCGAAGAACCUUACCUGGCCUUGACAUGCAGAGAACUUUCCAUAGAUGGAUUGGUGCCUUCGGGAACUCUGAGACAGGUGCUGCAUGGCUGUCGUCAGCUCGUGUCGUGAGAUGUUGGGUUAAGUCCCGCAACGAGCGCAACCCUCGUCCUUAGUUGCCAUCAUUUAGUUGGGAACUCUAAGGAAACUGCCGGUGAUAAGCCGGAGGAAGGUGGGGAUGACGUCAAGUCCUCAUGGCCCUUACACGCUGGGCUACACACGUGCUACAAUGGCGGUGACAGUGGGCAGCGAACUCGCGAGAGUAAGCUAAUCUCUAAAAGCCGUCUCAGUUCGGAUUGUACUCUGCAACUCGAGUGCAUGAAGUUGGAAUCGCUAGUAAUCGUGGAUCAGCAUGCCACGGUGAAUACGUUCCCGGGCCUUGUACACACCGCCCGUCACACCAUGGGAGUUGGCUUUACCCGAAG